UACGAAGGGAGCUAGCGUUGUUCGGAAUCACUGGGCGUAAAGCGCACGUAGGCGGAUGUGUCAGUCAGGGGUGAAAUCCCGGAGCUCAACUUCGGAACUGCCUUUGAUACAGCACGUCUUGAGUCCGAUAGAGGUGGGUGGAAUUCCUAGUGUAGAGGUGAAAUUCGUAGAUAUUAGGAAGAACACCGGUGGCGAAGGCGGCCCACUGGAUCGGUACUGACGCUGAGGUGCGAAAGCUAGGGUAGCAAACGGG
rnacentral:rRNA from 1 species